GUUGGCGGUUGUUGGGUUCCUUCAUUGAAACUGCACUAACUGGGCUUCCAGUCAGCGUCAGUCAGCGGAUCCUUGGGCCGUGGGGCAGCCGCAGGUCGGUUAGGCCACCAGGGCGGCUCUCGUGCCAGUGAGGCCCCUGAGAGCCCUUUGGUCAGACAGAGGCUAAAUCUGAACAGUCAGGCGGUGAGAUUAAGCAUAGUCAGGGAGUUCGCCAGGAGCCAGCGUUCCUCAGCCUCCACCACGUCAGUCACCUGGUCAGCCAGAGGGCAGCUGGGGCGACAUCCAUCUACCAAGAAGGCAUGUAUUUGACAGAAAUGAACUCAGUAUCUUGAAGAGAUAUCUGCACUCCUGUGUUCAUUGCAGCAUUAUUCACCAUAGCCCACACGUGGAAUCAACGUGAACAGGCCUUCACGAUGACCAGAGACAGAAGCCCCUGACUUGGCUAAAGAUACUUCUGCUCUCCCCAUCCCCACAUCCUCUUUCAGUUACGCAUCACCUCACUCCUUCUGAACCAUAUGGUUCUGAUGUCAGAGCCAGUGUAGUAAAGAGCUUCUGCUGUUCCU
rnacentral:lncRNA from 1 species